UGCUUGGGAAUAUGCCUUGAGGUGGGGACGAACAGUUGGAACGAACUGCUAAUACCGCAUAAUGUCUACGGACCAAAGACGGGGGACGUCUUCGGAACCUCGUGCCUUUAGUAUUAGCCCAACGUGAGAUUAGCUAGUAGGUGAGGUAAUGGCUCACCUAGGCGACGAUCUCUAGCUGGUUUGUAGAGGAUGAUCAGCCACACUGGGACUGAGACACGGCCCAGACUCCUACGGGAGGCAGCAGUGGGGAAUAUUGCACAAUGGGGGAAACCCGUGAUGCAGCCAUGCCGCGUGUGUGAA
rnacentral:rRNA from 1 species